CAGUCGCCGCGGUAAUACGAAGGGGGCUAGCGUUGUUCGGAAUUACUGGGCGUAAAGGGCGCGUAGGCGGCCAUUCAAGUUAGAUGUGAAAGCCCUGGGCUCAACCUAGGAAUUGCAUUUGAUACUGUUUGGCUUGAGUUCGGGAGAGGUGAGUGGAAUUCCCAGUGUAGAGGUGAAAUUCGUAGAUAUUGGGUAGAACACCAGUGGCGAAGGCGGCUCACUGGCUCAUUCUAGACGCUGAGGUGCGAAAGCGUGGGGAGCAAACAGGAUUAGAGACCCCGGUAGUCCCUGUCUCUUAUAC
rnacentral:rRNA from 1 species